rnacentral:lncRNA from 10 species
AUGACAACAAAAAAGGGAGUAAUCCUACCCACUGUAAGAGUCAUGACUCUUGAUUGCAGCUGACAGAAACUCAUGACAGCCUGCUUUAGAUGAAGGGGGAGAGAAGGACUGGAAGAAUCUUGGAGUUGGGAAUGUCACACGUAAUUGAAGGAAGAACAAGAAAACUAUAAUUCUUCCCCUGGAGGCUGGAGUUUCCAGGAUGUCAAAAUUACCUCUGCUUGGGUGAGCUAUUUCAAGCAGCUGGGAUACCUGUGUCACUCCUGCUGUCUGCCAGUGACUGCCCAGGUGUCUGCUGGUUCCUCCCCAGGAGUAGGGAGGAACCAGGUGGGCUGGCUGGGAUGGGUGGAUAUUUAAAGACCAGGCCUUGGACGCUGCAGCACUUCUAUCUCUGCUUGAUGCCUGCUGCCACGUGGCUGGUCCUCCUCCUCCUGCUGUGGCUGAGCCUUGGGGUGAAGACAGACAGAGUCUGCUCUGUCCCCCGCCAGGCUGGAGUGCAGUGGUACGAUCUCGGCUCACUGCAACCUCCACCUUCUGGGUUCAAGCCAUUCUCCUGCCUCAGCCUCCCGAGUAGCUGGGAUUAUAGGCAUGCACCACCAUGCCUGGCUAAUUUUUGGCAUUUUAAAUAGAGACAGGGUUUCGCCAUGUUAGCCAGGCUAGUCUUGAACUUCUGACUUCAGGUGAUCUGCCCACCUCCGCCUCCCAAAGUGUUGGGAUUACAGGCAGCUGCUCCCAACCCCAGAACCUUUGCUGUCUUGGGACGGAUCACCGCUGCAAGAGGGGAAGUUGCUACUGUGAUGAAUUCUGCCAUGUGGCACCAGACUGCCACCCAGACCACAGUGUCCUCUGCAACCCUGGUAACUCACAUACAGGCCCGAUUCCACCUACAGCAAAGCUGGAUGCGAUGGCUGGCAGAGGCAAACCCUUUGCCUGCACUUCAGGCCAAAGCCGGGAUGUGG